rnacentral:rRNA from 1 species
GACGAACGCUGGCGGCGUGCUUAACACAUGCAAGUCGAACGGACCUUCGGGUUAGUGGCGAACGGGUGAGUAACACGUGGGUGAUCUGCCCUGCACUUUGGGAUAAGCCUGGGAAACUGGGUCUAAUACCGGAUAGGACCACGCAUUUUAUGGUGUGUGGUGGAAAGCUUUUGCGGUGUGGGAUGGGCCCGCGGCCUAUCAGCUUGUUGGUGGGGUAAUGGCCUACCAAGGCGACGACGGGUAGCCGGCCUGAGAGGGUGACCGGCCACACUGGGACUGAGAUACGGCCCAGACUCCUACGGGAGGCAGCAGUGGGGAAUAUUGCACAAUGGGCGCAAGCCUGAUGCAGCGACGCCGCGUGAGGGAUGACGGCCUUCGGGUUGUAAACCUCCUUCGCCAGGGACGAAGCGCAAGUGACGGUACCUGGAGAAGAAGGACCGGCCAACUACGUGCCAGCCGCCGCCGUAAAAC